rnacentral:rRNA from 1 species
AGAUUGAACGCUGGCGGCAUGCCUAACACAUGCAAGUCGAACGGGAGUAGCAAUACUCUAGUGGCGGACAGGUGAGGAAUACGUAGGAAUUUGCCCUUAAGUGGGGGAUAACCCGGGGAAACCCGGAUUAAUACCGCAUGACCUCGAAAGAGCAAAGUGGGGGAUCGCAAGACCUCACGCUUUUGGAGAAGCCUACGUCGGAUUAGCUAGUUGGUGAGGUAAUGGCUCACCAAGGCGACGAUCCGUAACUGGUCUGAGAGGAUGAUCAGUCACACCGGAACUGAGACACGGUCCGGACUCCUACGGGAGGCAGCAGUGGGGAAUAUUGGACAAUGGGCGCAAGCCUGAUCCAGCAAUGCCGCGUGCGUAGGAAGAAGGCCUUCGGGUUGUAAACGU